rnacentral:rRNA from 1 species
GAUGAACGCUGGCGGCGUGCCUAAUACAUGCAAGUCGAGCGAACGGACGAGAAGCUUGCUUCUCUGAUGUUAGCGGCGGACGGGUGAGUAACACGUGGAUAACCUACCUAUAAGACUGGGAUAACUUCGGGAAACCGGAGCUAAUACCGGAUAAUAUUUUGAACCGCAUGGUUCAAAAGUGAAAGACGGUCUUGCUGUCACUUAUAGAUGGAUCCGCGCUGCAUUAGCUAGUUGGUAAGGUAACGGCUUACCAAGGCAACGAUGCAUAGCCGACCUGAGAGGGUGAUCGGCCACACUGGAACUGAGACACGGUCCAGGCUCCUACGGGAGGCAGCAGUAGGGAAUCUUCCACAAUGGGCGAAAGCCUGACGGAGCAACGCCGCGUGAGUGAUGAAGGUCUUCGGAUCGUAAAACUCUGUUAUUAGGGAAGAACAUAUGUGUAAGUAACUGUGCACAUCUUGACGGUACCUAAUCAGAAAGCCACGGCUAACUACGUG